AGAAAAAUAUGGAAUUUUGAUACAAUCAUCUUGAAAGGUACAUGAACAUCCUCCAAUUGGAAUCACUCCAAAAUUCAUCCGUUUGAUCACUUUCUGCUCCAGAGGAAGUCGAAUAUCCUACAUUGAGAAUACAUAACAAAGUAUCAAAAUUCUACCAAAAUAACCAAUAAAUUAAUACUAAGAUUAGGGUAAAGUAUAUAGUAUAAUAUCGCCUCAUCAAACGCUUUCAGUUGCUACUGUCAAAGUUGAAAGAGCAUUUUAGGCCAUGAAAUUUUGAACAAU
rnacentral:lncRNA from 1 species